ACGGGAGGCAGCAGUGGGGAAUAUUGCACAAUGGGGGAAACCCUGAUGCAGCGACGCCGCGUGAGUGAUGAAGUAUUUCGGUACGUAAAGCUCUAUCAGCAGGGAAGAUAAUGACGGUACCUGACUAAGAAGCACCGGCUAAAUACGUGCCAGCAGCCGCGGUAAUACGUAUGGUGCAAGCGUUAUCCGGAUUUACUGGGUGUAAAGGGAGCGUAGGUGGUUUGGCAAGCCAGAAGUGAAAACCCGGGGCUCAACUCCGUGGAUUGCUUUUGGAACUGUUGAACUAGAGUGCAGGAGGGGUAAGUGGAAUUCCCAGUGUAGCGGUGAAAUGCGUAGAUAUUGGGAGGAACACCAGUGGCGAAGGCGGCUUACUGGACUGUAACUGACACUGAGGCUCGAAAGCGUGGGGAGCAAACAGGAUUAGAUACCCUGGUA
rnacentral:rRNA from 1 species